AUUGAACGCUGGCGGCAGGCCUAACACAUGCAAGUCGAGCGGAUGAAGGGAGCUUGCGCCUGGAUUCAGCGGCGGACGGGUGAGUAAUGCCUAGGAAUCUGCCUGGUAGUGCGGGAUAACGUCUGGAAACGGGCGCUAAUACCGCAUACGUCCUGAGGGAGAAAGUGGGGGAUCUUCGGACCUCACGCUAUCAGAUGAGCCUAGGUCGGAUUAGCUAGUUGGUGGGGUAAAGGCCUACCAAGGCGACGAUCCGUAACUGGUCUGAGAGGAUGAUCAGUCACACUGGAACUGAGACACGGUCCAGACUCCUACGGGAGGCAGCAGUGGGGAAUAUUGGACAAUGGGCGAAAGCCUGAUCCAGCCAUGCCGAGUGUGUGAAGAAGGUCUUCGGAUUGUAAAGCACUUUAAGUUGGGAGGAAGGGCAGUAAGUUAAUACCUUGCUGUUUUGACGUUACCAACAGAAGAAGCACCGGCUAACUUCGUG
rnacentral:rRNA from 1 species